GUCACUGCAGUUGGUGUACGCUAGGAUUGAACACCCGAAAAUAUCCGUCGCAAGUCGCAACCAAGCCGAGAGAGAACCCUGUCCCAAGACGGGCACCCAAUCCAUGUCCAGCCCCGGGCCUCCAAUCGCCUCCCAUUCGUCUCCUCCCCCAAUCCCUCCUGCUCAGCCACCGCCGCCGCCGCUCGCGCUGCCACCUCCUCCUCCGAGCGAUGGUAGAUCCAUUCAGGCGGCCACCAGUCCUGCUGAUGGCGAAGAAGAGCAAGGGAAAGGGCGAUGCCGCAGAUUUAUGUCAUGUCCUUGCCAGUGGUCGAAAUGCACCAACAAAAUGCAGUUAGUCUAUGCAAUUGAAUGUUUUACUGGCAUAGGCAGGGGGCGAUCAGUUGUUGCUGCCUCUUUCUCUUUGAAAGGUUGUUAUAGGAGAAAGGCCAGGUGCACCCUUUUUCCUGCUACAAAGAUCACCAUCAGACAGUCGGGUGUUUCCUCUGGGUUGCUUCGAGUGUCAAGUGUUAAUGACCUUGCUGAUACGAGGAGGUUACUGAUAUCAUCUCUAAUGGUGUUGAAUUCCCUCCCUUCCCUAACAGGAAUAUUAUGUCCAUGGUCAACUUGGACUGUCAAUUGGACCUGAAACAAAUAACUCUCCAGGCAUGCAAUGCAGAAUAUAACCCCAAGGUUAGCACAGGAGCAAAAAAGUGAACAGCAAUCUGAACUUGAAGCUAGAAAGUAUGCUCGUAUAAACCAGAAACUUAUCUUUUCUGCAAAAUUCAAGGACUUUAAGAUCUAGAAUAUCGUUGGGUCUUGUGAUGUAAAAUUUCCCAUAAGACUUGAGGGCCUCCAUAUUCUCACGGCGCCUUCGCAAGUUAUGAGCCAGGGCUAUUUCCUGGCCUGAUCUAUAAUUGUCCUGCUAAUCUUGGUUUCUGACUGGAGCUAAGAAAAACCGGGCAGAGGCAACGGAUUAGAAGACUUUGACUCUGGAUGUCCUACAGGUUAUGAGGUGUAAUUGUCGUUGCCCAGACCGGAAACGCUACAUCAAUGUGCCUGGUCAUCUUAGCCAGACUAUAUGUAAUAAUUAACGAACAACUGUGUUGUCAGUCCGAAUGAGACUCAUCUAAGUAUUUAGCUACUCUUGUCCGAGAACCACUACUCGUAUGUACUGUAAUAUAUUCGCUGUUUAUAUGUGUCA